UACGUAGGGUGCAAGCGUUAAUCGGAAUUACUGGGCGUAAAGCGUGCGCAGGCGGCUUUGCAAGACAGAUGUGAAAUCCCCGGGCUUAACCUGGGAAUUGCGCUUGUGACUGGCGUGCUGGAGUGUGGCAGAGGGAGGUGGAAUUCCACGUGUAGCAGUGAAAUGCGUAGAGAUGUGGAGGAACACCGAUGGCGAAGGCAGCCUCCUGGGCCAGCACUGACGCUCAUGCACGAAAGCGUGGGGAGCAAACAGG
rnacentral:rRNA from 1 species